rfam:Danio rerio chromosome 4, GRCz11 reference primary assembly.
GCAUUGGUGGUUCAGUGGUAGAAUUCUCGCCUCCCAUUCGGGAUACCUGGUUCCGAUUCCCGGCCAAUGCA